CCUACGGGUGGCAGCAGUGGGGAAUAUUGGGCAAUGGAGGAAACUCUGACCCAGCAACGCCGCGUGAAGGAUGAAGGUUUUCGGAUUGUAAACUUCUUUCGCGAGGGAUGAAGAAUGACGGUACCUCGUAAGAAAGCCCCGGCAAACUACGUGCCAGCAGGCUCGGUAAUACGUAGGGGGCGCGCUUUGGCCGGAAGGACGGGGCGUAAAGGGAGUGUAGGCGGCAUAUUAAGUUAUGUGUGAAAGCCUGCGGCUCAACCGCGGAAUUGCACAUAAAACUGGUAAGCUGGAGUGCGAGAGAGGUAAGUGGAAUUCCCGGUGUAGCGGUGGAAUGCGUAGAUAUCGGGAGGAACACCAGAGGCGAAGGCGACUUACUGGACUGUAACUGACGCUGAGGCUCGAAAGCGUGGGGAGCAAACAGGAUUAGAUACCCGUGUAGUC
rnacentral:rRNA from 1 species